rnacentral:rRNA from 1 species
GAUGAACGCUAGCGACAGGCCUAACACAUGCAAGUCGAGGGGUAACAGGGAGCUUGCUCCGCUGACGACCGGCGCACGGGUGAGUAACGCGUAUGCAACCUACCUAUAAGAGGGGGAUAACCCGGAGAAAUUCGGAUUAACACCGAAUAAUAUAAUGUAGAGGCAUCUUUAGAUGAUUAAAUAUUUAUAGCUAAUGGAUGGGCAUGCGUCUGAUUAGUUUGUUGGGGAGGUAACGGCUCACCAAGACUACGAUCAGCAGGGGUGCUGAGAGGAAGGUCCCCCACACUGGUACUGAGACACGGACCAGACUCCUACGGGAGGCAGCAGUGAGGAAUAUUGGUCAAUGGGCGAGAGCCUGAACCAGCCAAGUCGCGUGAAGGAAGACGGCCCUAUGGGUUGUAAACUUCUUUUGUAUGGGGGUAAAAUGCUCUACGUGUAGAGUUUUGCAAGUACCAUACGAAUAAGGAUCGGCUAACUCCGUGCCAGCAGCCGCGGUAACAC